CUACUUCGGUAGUGAAUUAGCGGCGAACGGGUGAGGAACACGUGAGGAAUCUGCCUUCUACACUGGGAUAACUCCGGGAAACCGGGGCUAAUACCGGAUAUGAAACUUGGUGGCAUCACCGAGUUUGGAAAGUUUUUCGGUAGAAGAUGACCUCGCGGCCUAUCAGCUUGUUGGUGAGGUAAUGGCUCACCAAGGCGACGACGGGUAGCCGGCCUGAGAGGGCGACCGGCCACACUGGGACUGAGACACGGCCCAGACUCCUACGGGAGGCAGCAGUGGGGAAUAUUGGGCAAUGGAGGAAACUCUGACCCAGCGACGCCGCGUGCGGGAUGAAGGCCUUCGGGUUGUAAACCGCUUUCAGUAGGGAAGAAGCGAAAGUGACGGUACCUACAGAAGAAGCACCGGCUAACUAUGUGCCAGCAGCCGCGGUAAUACAUAGGGUGCAAGCGUUGUCCGGAAUUAUUGGGCGUAAAGAGCUCGUAGGUGGUUCGUUACGUCGGAUGUGAAA
rnacentral:rRNA from 1 species